GCCCUGCUGAACUGUAGAAUUUUAAUGUUUUGUUUCAUAGAUCACCGGAGUACUACAACAUUCUUAUCUUUACUCUUUCCUAUCGGGUAGUGAAACUUGAGUUUGAAAUUAGAAAGAUUUAAAAUUGUGCACAAGUUUUAUCUGAUCUUUUGUGGGUUUAUGUUGUUCAAGGUAAUUUUCGGUGCAGUUAUUUUCUUUUCAUUUGUUAUUUUUUCCUCUGUGUUACACGACCUUGUACUUUUUGUAUUGCCCCUUGACAUCUCCUGCUUCUGUUUAAACCUUUUCCACCAAUAUCUUUUAUUUAAAACAGAUGUCAUCUGUUUUAAAUAAAAUAGUCUCAUUCCCGGAAUUUGUUAUACAGUAAUUCAUUUUAAU
rnacentral:lncRNA from 1 species